rnacentral:rRNA from 9 species
CCAUGGGAGUGGGUUGCAAAAGAAGUAGGUAGCUUAACCUUCGGGAGGGCGCUUACCACUUUGUGAUUCAUGACUGGGGUGAAGUCGUAACAAGGUAACCGUAGGGGAACCUGCGGUUGGAUCACCUCCUUACCUUAAAGAAGC